rnacentral:rRNA from 1 species
GACGAACGCUGGCGGCGUGCUUAACACAUGCAAGUCGAACGGAAAGGUCCUGCUUUUGUGGGGUGCUCGAGUGGCGAACGGGUGAGUAACAUGUGAGUAACCUGUCCCUGACUUUGGGAUAACUUCAGGAAACUGGGGCUAAUACCGGAUAGGAGUUCCUGCUGUAUGGUGGGGGUUGGAAAGUUUCGGCGGUUGGGGAUGGACUCGCGGCUUAUCAGCUUGUUGGUGGGGUAGUGGCUUACCAAGGCUUUGACGGGUAGCAGGCCUGAGAGGGUGACCGGCCACAUUGGGACUGGAAUGCGGCCCAGACUCCUACGGGAGGCAGCAGUGGAGAAUAUUGCACAGUGGGCGGAAGCCUAGUGCAGCGACGCCACGUGCGGGAUAACAGCCAUCGGGUUGUAAACCGCUUUCGCCUGUGACGAAGCGUGAAUGACGGUAAUGGGUAAAGAAGCACCGGCUAACUACGUG